rnacentral:rRNA from 1 species
UAAGUACAUCCUGCCCAGUGAAAUUUAAACGGCCGCGGUAUCUUGACCGUGCAAAGGUAGCAUAAUAAUUUGCCUUUUAAUUGAAGGCUAGAAUGAAUGGAUAAACGAAGUUUUUUCUGUAUCAUAUUUAAAAAUAAAAUUUAUGAAACAGGUGAAGACACCUGUAUAAAAAAGAAAGACAAGAAGACCCUAUAGAGUUUUAGUUCAAUUAAAAAUAGAACUUUUGUUGGGGCGACAAAGGAUAAAAAAUAACAUCCUUAAAUAAAAAGAAUAUAAAUCUUAUAAUAAUCCUAUACAAUAGAAUGAAAAACAAACUACCUUAGGGAUAACAGGCUUAUCUUCCUAUGGAGAUCACAUCGAAAGGAAGGUUUGGCACCUCGAUGUUGGCUUAAAGUAACCUAUUUAUGCAGCAGUAAAUAAGGAUAGUUUGUUCACCUAUUAAAUCUCUACAUGAUCUGAGUUCAAACCGGCGUAA